AAAGUAUAAAUGCAGUUAAUUAACAAUCAUUAAUCAUUAUUAUGUAAACGAUCUUCAUAUCUACAACAUUGAAACAGCAAUGAGUUGUAAAUUGGUGAUUUUGAUUUUAGGAGUAUGCCUAAUUGCAAGUGUAUUUGCACUCGACCACAGGAAGAGCGAUAAAUUAAAUCAAGCAAAUGCUGGAGCACCCGGGCAACAAGUACAAGGGAACUCGGACGACGAUACACGUAAAAAGGGAAAAAUCAUUUCGGAUGUACAGUUUGGUGGUUGAUAUGAGAACUUUAAAUGGCACUUGUGUUCAUAUGAAUUGUAUGAAAUAUGAAUAAAGUAUUGAGAAUAUAAUUA